GGUUUCGUUCUGGCUCAGAUUGAACGCUGGCGGGAUGCUUUACACAUGCAAGUCGAACGGCAGCCUGGGACUUCGGUCUGGUGGCGAGUGGCGAACGGGUGAGUAAUGUAUCGGAACGUGCCUAGUAGCGGGGGAUAGCUACGCGAAAGCGUAGCUAAUACCGCCUUCCGCCCUUCGAGGAAAGCGGGGACCUUCGGGCUCACUAUUAAACGGCCGAUAUCGGAUUAGCUAGUUGGUGGGGUAACGGCUCACCAAGGCGACGAUCCGUAAGCUGGUUUGAGAGGACGCCAGCCACACUGGGACUGAGACACGGCCCAGACUCUACGGGAGGCAGCAGUGGGGAAUUUUGGACAAUGGGGAAACCCUGAUCCAGCCAUCCGCGUGUGCGAUGAAGGCCUUCGGGUUGUAAAGCACUUUUGGCAGGAAAGAAACGGCACGGGAUAAUACCCCGUGCAACUGACGGUACCUGCAGAAUAAGCACCGGCUAACUACGUGCCAGCAGCGCGGUAACCGUAGGAGUGCAAGCGUUAAUCGGAAUUACUGGGCGUAAAGCGUGCGCAGGCGGUUCGGAAGAAAGAUGUGAAAUCCAGAGCUUAACUUUGGAACUGCAUUUUUUAACUACCGAGCUAAGUGUGUCAGAGGGAGAGUGGAAUUCCGCGUCAUGUGGUGAAAUGCGUAGAUAUGCGGAGGAACACCGAUGGCGAAGGCAGCCUCCUGGGAUAACACUGACGCUCAUGCACAGCGUGGGGAGCAAAACAGGAUUAGAUACCCUGGUAGUCACGCCUAAACAGAGGAAAUGUCAACUAGCUGUUGGGGCCUUCGGGCCUUGGUAGCGCAGCUAACGCGUGAAGUUGACCGCCGCAGAAUUACGGUCGCAAGAUUAAAACUCAAGGAAUUGACGGGGACCCGCACAAGCGGUGGAUGUUGUGGAUUCGUUGAUGGCGAAAAGACACUACCUACCCUUGACAUGUCUGGAAUCUGAAGAAGAGUUGCCGGGACAUGCCAGAGAACCGGAACACAGGUGCUGCAUGGCUGUCGUCAGCUGUGUGUUGAGAUGUUGGGUUAAGUCCCGCAACGAGCGCAACCUUGUCAUUGGUGCUACGAAAGGGCAUAUGGCCGGAGCUGCCGGUGACAAACCGGAGGAAGGUGGGGAUGACGUCAAGUCCUCAUGGCCCUUAUGGGUAGGGCUUCACACGUCAUACAAUGGUCGGGACAGAAGGUCGCCCAUGCGAAGACUAAUCCCAGAAACCCGAUCGUAGUCCAGAUCGCAGUCUGCAACUCAUUUACGUGAAGUCGAAUGCUAUUAAUCGCGGAUCAGCAUGUCGCGGUGAAUACGUUCCAGGUCUUGUACACCGCCCCGUCACACCAUGGGAGUGGGUUUUACCCGAAGUAGUUAGCCUAACCGUAAGGAGGGCGAUUACCACCGGUAGGAUUCAUGACUGGGGUGAAAUAACCAACAAGGUAG
rnacentral:rRNA from 1 species